rnacentral:rRNA from 1 species
UACGAGAGGCCCAAACGUUAUUCGGAAUUACUGGGCUUAAAGAGUUCGUAGGCGGCUUUGCAAGUCGGGUGUGAAAGCCCUCGGCUCAACCGAGGAAUUGCGCUCUAAACUGCAGUGCUUGAGGAACCUAGAGGUGAGCAGAACAGAUGGUGGAGCGGUGAAAUGCGUUGAUAUCAUCUGGAAUACCGGAGGCGAAGGCGGCUCACUGGGAGUUUUCUGACGCUGAGGAACGAAAGCCAGGGUAGCGAACGGG